rnacentral:rRNA from 1 species
ACUCUAGAGGGACGUGCCGGUGGUCAAACCGGAGGAAGGUGGGGAUGACGUCAAGUCCUCAUGGCCUUUAUGCCCAGGGCUACACACGUGCUACAAUGGGCGGUACAAAGAGCAGCGAGCUCGCGAGAGUAAGCAAAUCUCAAAAAGCCGUCCUCAGUUCGGAUUGGAGUCUGCAACUCGACUCCAUGAAGCUGGAAUCGCUAGUAAUCGCGGAUCAGCAUGCCGCGGUGAAUACGUUCCCGGGCCUU